UAUGGAUUACAGUCUUUUGGUUGGCCUUCACUUCCGUGAUGAUAAUACUUACGACAAAAUGGGGUUGUCGCCAUUUGUUUUGCGCUCUGGUAAUCAAUAAAGUAUUAUCCUUAAUGGAUUAUCAUUAUUCCAAUGUCUUUGGACAAGUUUUUCGAGCAAUAAUCAUGCUGCUGAUUAAAUGCACAUCUUAUGCAGGUAAUAAAGAUUCUUAUCGAAAUGAGAAGUUCAUGCGUGGCUGCCGCUUCCUUGAGGC
rnacentral:misc_RNA from 1 species